rnacentral:rRNA from 1 species
CCCGGGCCUUGUACACACCGCCCGUCACGCCAUGGAAGCUGGGGGGACCUAAAGUCGGUGGGCUAACCGCAAGGGGGCAGCCGCCAAAGGUCAAUUCAGUGACUGGGGCG